rnacentral:rRNA from 1 species
CCUACGGGAGGCAGCAGUGGGGAAUUUUGGACAAUGGGCGCAAGCCUGAUCCAGCAAUGCCGCGUGAGUGAAGAAGGCCUUCGGGUUGUAAAGCUCUUUUGUCAGGGAAGAAACGGUGGGGGCUAAUAUCCUCCACUAAUGACGGUACCUGAAGAAUAAGCACCGGCUAACUACGUGCCAGCAGCCGCGGUAAUACGUAGGGUGCAAGCGUUAAUCGGAAUUACUGGGCGUAAAGCGUGCGCAGGCGGUUUUGUAAGUUUGUCGUGAAAUCCCCGGGCUCAACCUGGGAAUGGCGAUGAAGACUGCAAGGCUAGAAUCUGGCAGAGGGGGGUAGAAUUCCACGUGUAGCAGUGAAAUGCGUAGAGAUGUGGAGGAACACCGAUGGCGAAGGCAGCCCCCUGGGUCAAGAUUGACGCUCAUGCACGAAAGCGUGGGGAGCAAACAGGAUUAGAUACCCUGGUAGUCCACGCCCUAAACGAUGUCUACUAGUUGUCGGGUUUUAAUUAACUUGGUAACGCAGCUAACGCGUGAAGUAGACCGCCUGGGGAAGUCGGUCGCAAGAUUAAAACUCAAAGGAAUUGACGGCUGAGACGNGCGAGACGACGACGAGGGAGGAGG